rnacentral:rRNA from 1 species
GCCAGACUCCUACGGGAGGCAGCAGUGAGGAAUAUUGGUCAAUGGCCGAGAGGCUGAACCAGCCAAGUCGCGUGAGGGAAGACGGCCCUACGGGUUGUAAACCUCUUUUGUCGGGGAGCAAAAGACGCCACGUGUGGCGUUCCGAGAGUACCCGAAGAAAAAGCAUCGGCUAACUACGUGCCAGCAGCCGCGGUAAUACGUAGGGGGCAAGCGUUAUCCGGAUUUACUGGGUGUAAAGGGAGCGUAGACGGCAUAGCAAGUCUGAAGUGAAAGCCCAAGGCUCAACCAUGGGACUGCUUUGGAAACUGUUAAGCUAGAGUGCUGGAGAGGUAAGCGGAAUUCCUAGUGUAGCGGUGAAAUGCGUAGAUAUUAGGAAGAACACCAGUGGCGAAGGCGGCUUACUGGACAGUAACUGACGUUGAGGCUCGAAAGCGUGGGGAGCAAACAGGAUUAGAUACCCUCGUA